rnacentral:rRNA from 1 species
CCUACGGGAGGCAGCAGUGGGGAAUAUUGGGCAAUGGGCGCAAGCCUGACCCAGCAACGCCGCGUGAAGGAAGAAGGCUUUCGGGUUGUAAACUUCUUUUCUCAGGGACGAAGCAAGUGACGGUACCUGAGGAAUAAGCCACGGCUAACUACGUGCCAGCAGCCGCGGUAAUACGUAGGUGGCAAGCGUUAUCCGGAUUUACUGGGUGUAAAGGGCGUGUAGGCGGGAAAGCAAGUCAGAUGUGAAAACCAUGGGCUCAACCUGUGGUCUGGAUUUGAAACUGUUUUUCUUGAGUACUGGGGAGGCAGGCGGAAUUCCUGGUGUAGCGGUGAAAUGCGUAGAUAUCAGGAGGAACACCGGUGGCGAAGGCGGCCUGCUGGACUGCAACUGACGUUGAGGCCCGAAAGCGUGGGGAGCAAACAGGAUUAGAUACCCUUGUAGUC